rnacentral:rRNA from 1 species
ACGCUGGCGGCAGGCCUAACACAUGCAAGUCGAGCGGUAGCACAGGAGAGCUUGCUCUCUGGGUGACGAGCGGCGGACGGGUGAGUAAUGUCUGGGAAACUGCCUGAUGGAGGGGGAUAACUACUGGAAACGGUAGCUAAUACCGCAUGACCUCGCAAGAGCAAAGUGGGGGACCUUCGGGCCUCACGCCAUCGGAUGUGCCCAGAUGGGAUUAGCUAGUAGGUGGGGUAAUGGCUCACCUAGGCGACGAUCCCUAGCUGGUCUGAGAGGAUGACCAGCCACACUGGAACUGAGACACGGUCCAGACUCCUACGGGAGGCAGCAGUGGGGAAUAUUGCACAAUGGGCGCAAGCCUGAUGCAGCCAUGCCGCGUGUGUGAAGAAGGCCUUAGGGUUGUAAAGCACUUUCAGCGAGGAGGAAGGGUUCAGUGUUAAUAGCACUGUACAUUGACGUUACUCGCAGAAGAAGCACCGGCUAACUCCGUGCCAGCAGCCGCGGUAAUACGGAGGGUGCAAGCGUUAAUCGGAAUUACUGGGCGUAAAGCGCACGCAGGCGGUUUGUUAAGUCAGAUGUGAAAUCCCCGAGCUUAACUUGGGAACUGCAUUUGAAACUGGCAAGCUAGAGUCUUGUAGAGGGGGGUAGAAUUCCAGGUGUAGCGGUGAAAUGCGUAGAGAUCUGGAGGAAUACCGGUGGCGAGGGCGGCCCCCUGGACAAAGACUGACGCUCAGGUGCGAAAGCGUGGGGAGCAAAC